ensembl:lncRNA
GGAGCACAUCAGCUCGACCAAACUCGACCAAAUGUAAAUACAGAACAGGGAAAAUUAAGCACACCUGUGCAUGUGUUGUGCUUUUCAUGCUCUUGUGCUCCUUGUACAGUUACUUCACUGGUACAUUAGCACAGUGCAUUGGUGAGACAGCUGUUGCUGUAUGAGUAAAUCUAUAACACUGUAACCUUUCAGCAAGAAUGCUGCCAGGGAAAGAAAUGGAGUUUGAAAGUGUAGAUUAUGAGGACGUCAUGGACAAAGACAAUGAGAUGGAAGACUUCAGUCGUGGCAGAUUCAGAUCUGAGACUGAAUUUGUCUCAGAGAAUGAUGGGCGGAGUGUUUCCUCUUUACCUUAUGAUGAUAUUGAUGAAGCAGAUGAGGCUCGACCCCUGACCUUUCCGGGCACUACUGCUCCUGCUGCCCGAGACAUCAACGUUCAUGAAGACGGGGUGACCUAUGAAGUGGAAGAUCCACAGGAGAGUUAUGAUGACAUCGAUACAGUCCCUGAAACUGCACAGACUACAGCAGAGGUCCACGACAGCCCUGAAACACAACAUGACUUAAACACAGCAGCCCCAGGAUUGGUGAAGAGGGAUGAGGACUACCUAGAGCCAGAUCAAGAUGAGUGAGCCAAAUGCGGCUUUAGAAACUACUUAAAAAAGUCUCACAAAGUGGCUCCUGACAAAAUUAACUGUUCUUUUUCUCUAAUUAAAAUAAGAGGACAAAAUAAUUAAAAUAUAUUGAUGCAACAUACAUUUACUGAAAUUCCUUGAAGAAAACUACAUUUAAUGCAAGAACUUAAUUUUAAAAGAAUUUAAAUUCAUCCCUUGAGCCUGUAUAGCAAAAAACUUAAAAUGUAAAAUGUAACAAAAAAGACGGAUACUAGUGUUAUCAAUAAAUCAUUCCAUGAUGUUGUGUUUAAUAGUAGUUGAAUGUAAAGCUUUUAUCAAACAUGUCUAUACUGUGUGGUAUUCCAUUUUUUAUUCAGUUAUCUUUGUUUAAAUGUGUGAUGUUGAAGCAACAGAUGAGCUAGCUAAUAG